AUUGAACGCUAGCGGCAGGCCUAACACAUGCAAGUCGAACGAUUGGCGGACGGGUGAGUAAUGUCUGGGAAACUGCCCGAUGGAGGGGGCUAACUACUGGAAACGGUAGCUAAUACCGCAUACCAUCAGAUGUGCCCAGAUGGGAUUAGCUAGUAGGUGGGGUAAAGGCUCACCUAAGCGACGAUCCCUAGCUGGUCUGAGAGGAUGACCAGCCACACGGGAACUGAGCCACGGUCCAGAUUCCGACGGGAGGCAGCAGUGGGGAAUAGUGCACAAUGGGCGCAAGCAUGAUGCAGCCAUGCCGCGUGUAUGAAGAAGGCCUUCGGGUUGUAAAGUACUUUCAGCGGGGAGGCGUUACCCGCAGAAGAAGCACCGGCUAACUCCGUGCCAGCAGCCGCGGUAAUUC
rnacentral:rRNA from 1 species